UUCGCUUCUCGGCCUUUUGGCUAAGAUCAAGUGUAGUAUCUGUUCUUAUCAGUUUAAUAUCUGAUACGUCCUCGAUGAGAGGACUUUAUAUUAAACGGAUUUUUGGGGCUGGGAGUUGGACGCGGAGCUUGUAUUUUUUUCUCCCCAGGUUGGACUCGAUGAUCUUAACACU
rnacentral:snRNA from 1 species